GCCCAGCAGGCUCGGUGUAGAGCGUGUGACUCUUGAUCUCAGGGCCAUGGGUUCAGUCCCCAUGUCGGGUG
rnacentral:tRNA from 1 species